UACAGAGGGUGCAAACGUUGCUCGAAUACUGGCGUGAAGCAGCGUGUAGCGGAUUCGAAAGUCAGAUGUGAAAUCCCUGGGCUCAACCUAGGAACUGCAUUUGAAACUUCGUGUCUAGAGUGAUGGAGAGGAAAGCGGAAUUAUUGGUGUAGAGGUGAAAUUCGUAGAUAUCAAUAGGAACACCAGUGGCGAAGGCGGCU
rnacentral:rRNA from 1 species